GCCACAGACUGAAGGUUGCACUGUUGGCUUCCCUACUUUUGAGGUUUCUCUACUUCUCAGCUUGCAGAUGAUCUAUUGUGGAACUUCAUCUUGUGAUUGUAACUCUUUUUGCCCAACAGAAUGUGGACAGCAGAACUGUUCCAUACGUGGCGAGGAAGGCACACCUGGAAGGUAGUGAUGCUGGCGCAGUGGGAAAUGCAUCAGUGUGUACAAUUCUUCUCUGGUCUUUGUAAAUAGAAAUGCUCACUUUCUAUGUGAAACACCUAAAUCAUUCGAUGUGAAAUUCAGAAUAAAUUUAAAGGUAGAACAAGCAAAUAGCUAAACAAAGGAGUGUUUCAGAAAGGAAAUAUAUCAAGCUUUGGCUCAAAAGCAAAACAAUCUUUUCAUGAAGGGACGUGUUCACAGCCUCUAUUAAAUGCAUACUCAAUCACAAAAAUAAAGCCCAUCUGUUUAAUAUUAGCUUUUGUAAUAAACAUUUUAAAGAAAGGGAUGUAGAAGGCAAAUAUGUAUUGUAAAACAAAAUGUGUACUCUUGGGAUAAGUAAAACUUCCUCUGAAAGAACUCCAAAGCUUGUUCUUUAUACCAAAAGCAAUAACAAUUAGUUGCAUGACACCACAAUAGCAGAGGCAUAUUCUACCCUUUGAGAGGAAAGGAUAUUAAGCUGAAAAUUGAGCAUAUGAUCCCAUAGUAUAGAAUGCCAAACUUCCUUGGAUGCAACUUACCAAAGCAAAAUUAUAUAGCUGAAGUGUAUCCUAAAAUUUAGAGACAGAAAUGAUAUGUUUUAAAAUCAUGACUUAGAUAUACUAAAGUUUCUGGCUACAUUAAGAAGUUAAUUGUCAUGUACUUCGAUACAGAAUCAAGAUGUACUAAUUUUUAUUGGUACACUGGCGUUAAGUGAAUGUAUAGCAUAUGUUUAAAAGGAUGUAUCUGAGAAAACAAGGUUGAGGGGAAUAGAAUACUGAAGUCUAAACUGAGGGUCGUUUCAAUAUUUUAUUAGCCAUUUUAUGCAUAUGAACACAGACCAUAUUAGAUAUUUAGCAAGCAGGUGGAAAAAACCUGUUUCUGUCAGGGAAAGAAUUACCUCUAUUGAGAAACACAUGUGAAUAGGUCUGUCUAGUUUGGAAGAAGUUGCCUCUCUUGGUCAACAUUGGAUGGUAGGGAGCUGUUCUAUCCAAUGUAACAAGCACUGGCCACAUAGAGCUAUUGAAAUGUACAUGGUAAAUUAAUUAAAAUCUAAUGUCACAUUUAAUUCAUUAAGUGCUUAAUAGCCAUAUAUGAUUAGUGGCUACCAUAUUAUGUAGUGCAGAUUACAGAACAUUUCCAUCAUCAUAGAAAGUUCUGUUGUAUAGGACUGGUCUGGGUAAAGUUUGAGAGACAGAGAAAGUACUCCACGGGAAUCUUGGACUUAGAGGUGAGUAAAACUUUCACAAAGUGGCAAGGGGAUCUGAACAGAGAGGUGAAAAUUGCAGUGUGGUGAGAAGCUAGAAUCUUGUUAGAAAAGAGGGACUGUUGACUACAGAAAUGUCUGAAGUGUUUUUUCAAAAACGAAUACCUAAUAUUCAAUGCUCCACCUCCUCCCAAUGAUACCUUUUGUUACAAAUCUUCAGGAAACCUAGAAUGGAACAACACAGCAAGGGCUGCUGCCUGGGCAUUAGAAAUAGAACACCACACCCAAUGGCUAAAGCUGGUGGCCAGAGAUAAGAACUUAGAGGCAUCUCUCCUGCCUACCAGACUGGGCCCCCUGUUUUCCCGCCACUUCCUUUAAAUAAACGACUCAGGCAUUUGCCCAUGAACUUAAAGUGACCCAUAUUCUGCUAGCUGCCACUCUCUCUUUCUCUCUGCCUGACCUUUCAUUCCUGCCUCACGUGAUCGAGAGCUGCCCUCCAGAUUCAUGGCACCCUCCCUGCCCAAGGUGCUUGCCAGAAUAAAGGCUGCCAAGAGUGAACAUUCAGCAAGCCAUGGGCAACAGUGUGCUGGAAUGGAAAAUACUGGUUAGUAUGGAAAGUUGAUGAAUUGGUCAUAAAGUAAUAGAGUUUAUUACAAAACCAUUCCCAGCAAAUUCAUAUUGCAUUACACAGCAAUUUUUUACAAAGUUCACCAGAAGCAUCCUUUAUCAAUGAAGUCAAUCAGUUUUCAUGUGCUGCUUUGUAGUGCUCAGUAAGGCACUCUCUAAUAUGAUUUGUUAUUUUUGUCUUCAUACAGGUUGAGCAUCCCUUAUCUGAAAAUCCAAAAUCCAAAACUGUUUGAGCACUGACAUGACUUCUCAAGUAGAAAAUUUCACACAUAAGUAUUUAAUACAAACUUUGUUUCAUGAACCACAUUAUUUAAAUAAUGUGUAAAACUACAAUAGAUCAGGCUAUGUAUAUAAUAAAGGGUGUAUAAAUUUCAUAAUAAAUAUGAAAUAAAUUUCAUAAAUGAAUAACGUAAAUAACAAAUGAAUUUAAUGUUAAGAGGGGUCCCAUCCUCAAGAUAUCUUAUUAUAUAUAUGCAAAUAUUCCAAAAUCUGAAGAAACUUGAAAUCUGAAACACUUCUGUUCCUAAGCAUUUUGAAUAAGAGAUAUUCAGCCUGUAAUCUAUUUAUUUCCUACCUGGUCCUCUAGCUUUGAGAUAUUGAGUAAGUCCUGGGUUUUUAAUGUACAUAGGAAGCUCUUACCUUGGCAUUUUAGUUAGUUCUAUUCUGCUUUUCUGCAAUUAUUCCUUAUUUUCUUGCCACUGUUUUGCCUACUUUUUAUCAAUUCCCAAGAUCAGUUCUAUACCAUGUUUUAAAUAAGCAAAUUUUCAAAUUGUUUACCAAUCAAUAAAGCCAGGACAGGGACACUGUGAUGGUUAAUUUUAUGUGUCAACUUGACUGGGCCAUGACAUGCCCAGAUAUUUUGUUAAACAUUUUGUCUGAGUGAGAGUUUCAAGAAAAGAUUACCAUUUGGAUCAGACUAAGUAAAGCAGAUUUCCCAUCCUAGGAUGGGUUGGCCUCAUCUAAUCCGUUGGAGGCUUGAAUAGAACAACAGGUCUCCAGUAAGGAAGAGUUUGCUAGCUCAACCUAAGGAAGAGUUUGCUAGCUCAACCUGUUUUCAAGCUGGGGCAUCAGUCUUCUCCUGCACUCAGACUGGAACUUAUAUGAUUGUUUCUCCCAUUUUUUAGGGCUUCAGACUUGGACUGGAGCUACACCCCCACCUCUCCUGGGUCUCCAGCUUGCAGAAGAAAGAUUGCAGGACU